GACGAACGCUGGCGGCGUGCUUCAUACAUGCAAGUCGAACGAGAAGCUGACUUCGGUCAGUGGAAAGUGGCGGACGGGUGAGUAAUAUGUAGGAAAUCUGCCUUUAGGAGGGGGACAACAGAGGGAAACUUCUGCUAAUACCCCAUAUGAGCGUAGCUGAAAUGCUAUUCUUGAAAACUCCGGUGCCUAAAGAUGAGCCUGCAUCUGAUUAGCUAGUUGGUAGUGUAAUGGACUACCAAGGCGACGAUCAGUAGCUGGUUUGAGAGGAUGAUCAGCCACAAUGGGACUGAGACACGGCCCAUAAUCCUACGGGAGGCAGCAGUAGGGAAUUUUGCGCAAGGGGCGAAAGCGUGACGCAGCAACGCCGCGUGAACGACUAAGCCCUUCGGGGUGUAAAGUUCUGUCAGUGGGGACGAAACUUGACGGUACCCACAGAGGAAGCACCGGCUAACUCCGUG
rnacentral:rRNA from 1 species